AUUCCCCCUAAACUACCCUCUCGUCGCGCCGCGUAUCGAGGUACCUACACGAUUCUCGCAUUACCUCGGUGACCUUCCAAGCUUUGGUCACUUGGCAAUUACUUAAUGAGCUUCCAGACCAGCCCGCGCUUGUCGACUGCACAGCGGCAUGAGAUACUCAAGUACCUUUUUUUGUCGGAAAUUAUAUGUUUACAGUUCGGAAGCUUCCCCUCGUUGCGGAGUCAACGAGGAAUGCCACGGGCGGCGGACGGAAAUUCUUGUGGAUUUACAGCAGACUGUAGGGAAAGGGUUUGAAACCGGAUGUAAGGGAAGUGAAUCACGAGAUUGAUCAUUUUUGUGGUAUUUACUUGGUUCAUUAAGCUUUGAGAGAAAAAUUUUAAUCUGGAGAAAUUGAUAAAACUAUUUAGUUGAAAUAUGUUGUGUAUGCACGCAUCGCGCAUUCCUGCUACUUCGAUGUACGAUACUGAUUAUUUUGAACAUGACUAAAGAUUAUUAAGCUUCGUAGUAUACAAGUAUAAAUUGAUGAACAUAUUUGUAACGAAAGAGCAUUUAUUUUUGAAAAUAUCUCUCUGCAUUUUCUAUGCGAUAUUGUUUGCAUAUGCAUUAAUGUCUUUAGGGAAGUAAACGCCGAGAUAUUAUCGCAAGAGAUACGAUAUCGUUACGGUGCCGUCGGUAUUAUCAGAUGAAACGUAAUGCGAUUGACAGAGAUGUGACUCGAUGCAAGAGCAUGUAUAAAUAAAGCAUACCGUGACGAAUGAACGGCUGACGAAAAUGAAAUACGAAUCCCGGAGCCCGAGGGAGCCAAGGUGUCGCGCGAGCGUCGGUGAAUAAAUUAUCAAGAUACAGUUGAUGUUCGACGAUUGCGUUCGUGCGAAAGUGCAUUAAUUAAGCUUGCGAAAACUGGAUGUUCCAACGCAUCGCUCGUUGAUAAAUGGUGGAAGCAACGGAUACUUGACCGAGACACGUUCAGUUUUUGCAUCACGAUAUUGGCAUACAUCGUACAUCAACAUUAUAAAGUUCCUCGUAUGUACGUAGUUACAAUUGAUGAAAAAUCUUACCAUAUCGAUCUUACUCUAUACUAUAAUUUCAUGUACAAAACUUCAACAAUAGAGAAAUUGCGCGUAUCACAUUUUAAUAGAUGAUACAUAGAUGAUGCUAGCAAUAUAAAGCAUUAAAAAAUCGAUAAUCCAAUAAGAACGCAAUUUACAAAAGAGUAACACGAAAAUGUUCAAACAGAUAGCGUCUGUUAGCUUAUUCAUUGGCUUUUCAACGUGUAAAUGGCUACUCUUUUUUUCUCCGGAUCAUUAGUUGCAACGGGAGGCAUUUAUCAUCAACUCGAUAGUAGAAUCGCACAGAGGAAACCCUAUUAAACUUAAAUCAUAAUUUCGUGCUCGUUGGCUCGUGCAAGGAUUGGCGCCCACUACUGCAGUAAAAAACCAUUUCGAUAAUAUACCUAAUACCGAUCUGUAUUAUUUAUGAACCUCUUAGAUGUAACUCUGUGUAUAUGGCGAUAGAGAUCGAUAUGUCGAGGUUGACUAAAAAAUAGAGGUGAUUUCAAUUCCCUUAUUGGCUAUACUAACUCUUCAAUAAAGCUCGAUGUUACGGCAAGUUUGUCCGUUUUCCAAAUGACUCCCUAUGUAUCUUGAGGGAUCACUAAGCAUCCCUUACAAGCAUUAUUCACGAGCACACAGUAUAAAAGUAUUCGUAAAUAUAUACCAUUAAUGUUAGAAUGAUACAUAUAUCGCAAUCUAGAAAGGUAAAGUAUAAGUUUCUUUUUUUAUUUCUCCAUACUGUGCGCGCGCGCGUGUGUGCGUAUGGAUGUGUGUGCAAGUGCAAUAUUAAACAUGCGUGAAAUAUUUUAUAUAAUUUAUAAAAUUUUAUAUAAUACAUUAUACACUUAUAUUUCUACGCUACUCGACGCUAUCAAAUAAUAAAAUAUGUUAUGUUAAAAUUAUUACACAUGUUAAAACAAAAUGUAUACUUAUCUCGCGUAUCAGUCUCGAAUUAUAGAAUGAAAAAUCAUGAAA